AUUGAACGCUGGCGGCAUGCCUUACACAUGCAAGUCGAACGGUAACAGGUCUUCGGAUGCUGACGAGUGGCGAACGGGUGAGUAAUACAUCGGAACGUGCCUAGUAGUGGGGGAUAACUACUCGAAAGAGUGGCUAAUACCGCAUGAGAUCUACGGAUGAAAGCAGGGGAACGCAAGACCUUGUGCUACUAGAGCGGCCGAUGGCAGAUUAGGUAGUUGGUGGGAUAAAAGCUUACCAAGCCGACGAUCUGUAGCUGGUCUGGGAGGACGAUCAGCCACACUGGGACUGAGACACGGCCCAGACUCCUACGGGAGGCAGCAGUGGGGAAUUUUGGACAAUGGGCGAAAGCCUGAUCCAGCAAUGCCGCGUGCAGGAUGAAGGCCUUCGGGUUGUAAACUGCUUUUGUACGGAACGAAAAGCCCCGGGUUAAUACCCUGAGGUCAUGACGGUACCGUAAGAAUAAGCACCGGCUAACUACGUGCCAGCCGCCGCGGUAA
rnacentral:rRNA from 1 species